GCAGGUUGUACUGUCUAGCAUCAAUCUUCCUUUCCAUUAGGGGAACACCUGUUGUGGGUAGCUUGAAGGGACAGUGCCCUGCCUCCUUCUCCUGGUCUCCUGGCAGCCACGAACCUGGCAUGUAAGCCAACAUCAGCCAGUUGAAUACUCUUUGACUCAUGAGGGGAUGGUGAAACUUGAAAGGUCAUUACAGUUAUUUUAUAGUAGCAGUUGUGGGGGUGAAGGGCACAGACCCAGGGAUAAGCUUGGCUGGAGAGUCCAUGCUUCCAUCAGGAGGCCAUGCCCCAGACAUAGCACCUUCCAGGCAGUGAAAGUUGGGGCUCCAGCAUCUCCAAGCGUCUUGGCCCUCUGGAGUUGUCUUGUGUAAUGGUUAAUAUUGUAAUAUUGUAAUGGUUAAUAUUGAGUGUCAACUUGAUUGGAUUGAAGGAUGCCGAGUACUGUUCCUAGGUGUGUCUGUGACGGUGUUGCCAAAGGAGAUUAACAUUUGAGUCAGUGGACUGGGAAGGUCAGACCCACCUUAAUCUGGGUGGCAAAAUCUAAUCAGCUGCCAGCGCAGCCAGAAUAAAAGCAGGCAAAAGAACAUGGAAAGAGUAGACUGGUUUAGUCUUCUGGCCUACAUCCUUCUCCUGCACUGAAUGCUUC
rnacentral:lncRNA from 10 species